GCUUUUUUAAAAAAGAUUUUUGUUUAUUGGAGUGAGAGAGCGCAAAAGUGAGUGAGCAGGGAGAGGCAAAGGGGAAAGGAAAAGGAAUCUAAAGCAGAAUCUGCACUGAAUAUGGAGCCCUACUCGGGGCUGGAUCCCAUAACUGCAAGAUCAUGACCAGAGCCAAAACCAAGAGUCUGAUGCUCAACCAACUGAGCCAUGUAGGUGCCCCUGCAAGGCUUUUGGAAAAGACCCCUUUAGCCUUGCAGAAGUUCUGCUCAUCUUGUUCUGUGUAAUCUUUUUUUUUUUAAAAAGAUUUUAUUUAUUUAUUUGACAGAGAUCACAAGUAGGCAGAGAGGUAGGCAGGGAAAGAGGAGGAAGCAGGCUCCCUGCUGAGCAGAGAGCCCGAUGUGAGGCUUGAUCCCAGGACCCUGGGAUCAUGACCUGAACUGAAGGCAGAGGCUUUAACCCACUGAGCCACCCAGGUGCCCCUGUAUAAUUGUUUUUUAAAAGAUUUUAUUUUUAAAUAAUCUCUACACCCAGUGUGGGGUUCAAACUUACAACCCUGAAAUCAAGAGUCAGACUCUCAACUGACAAAGCCACCCAGGCACACCUUUAUAAUCAGUUUUAAGCCUUAUACCUAUUGCCUCUCAAACAUUCGUAGAAAUAACGUGCCCAAUUAGGGUCAUGCUAGCUCAGCACUUUGAGAUGAUCUUCAACAUUUAUCUCAGACGGGAAAUGCCUGACAGUUCUCCCUCCUCCUCUUCCCUGUUACUCAAAUGUGACUUCACCGGUUUCCAUUCUACACACUUUCCCUCCCAUGGGGGACAUGACCACCAGGAAAGAUCCUUUCUGACACCAAGGGGAUGAAAACACUAAAUAUGAAAAAAAAAAAACCCAAAAAACAAAACCACCACAACACAACCCUGACUUUUGAUUAGCAGUGCUUUUGAGAAAGACCUUGAUCAAAAGGGGGAGAUGUGAAAAUAAAGGAAACUUUAUUUAAAAUGGAGUCAGGAAGCCCCGAAGGGGGAGCUCUCAUGCAUUACCUCUUGGUGGAAGAAGCAUUAUCCCACAAUUCCCAGCAGGAAGCAGCUUGCUUUUGGUAUCCCAGCCUGAGGAAGGAUGAAUUUCUCCUUGCCCAGCAACAGCCCAGUUAGUGAGCGCUCAAUGAAACAGUCCCUCCUCUUUUCCCCUGGGAAAGCAAGCCCCUCUCCUCUGUUCUCUGGGUUUGCCUAUGGAUUGCCACAGUUUGCUUGUUCUGAAUUACAAUUCCUCUGCUCUUCCUCAAUAAACUCAUUUUGCUGGUAAAAUAACGGCUCUUUUGUUUUUUAAGGUUAAUGGAAGCUGAAACCACCUGAGGUUUCUGGGAACAGACUGACGGGGUCUGAAAAACUGAGUAUUACUCAUCAGGUGGGACCAGUGGCCAGAGGUCUGCGUUUCCGCCUCCCCCAUUGCUGCUCCAUCCAUCCUGUGCCUGAAAUACAAGUAGGCUAAUUCCAAGGUGUAGCCGGAGUUGAGAACCACACUGCUCUCGUCCCACUGUUCAUGUCUGUCAUCUAGUCAAUGUCAUCCUGCGGGACUACGGACAUGGAGAGCUGACACCAUGAUGAUCUAGCUUUGCUGCCUAUGUAAGUAAUAAGCUGUCUAUAGUCAUUUGGAUUCAUGGUUUUCUUGAUGGCUGAAUCUGUGCCGGUGUAGUGAGCCAGCCGAGCAGCUGCCCACACGCUGCUGUUUCAGGACUGCCUGACGGCUUAAGAGUACUUCCAGACUGUAUAACUGGAUUGGAAAAGCUUAGCAAUUGGCAGAACCUUCGUGUUGGUUGUUUGGCCAGUAGUGUAAGAGCUGUUGUAAUAGUAAAGGCCAACUAGAACCCUCAGAAACUCCUCACCACCACCUACCAACAUAAUAAGUAAAUAAAAGUUAAAAACCGUAUUGUAUCCCAGGGAGAAUUGCAGAAUUUAGUGCUCUCAGAGACUUGUACAAUGCAUUCUGCCAUCAGAUACCUAUUAAAUUCACUAGUGUGGCCCCCCAAAAACAGAUGUAUCAUGGCAGGUGACAAUAGGAGGUACCACAGAUUUUACUGAGCAGUACCAGUGGCUCUGUCGGAUGUGGUAUCUUUGCUAGAGCAGAUCAACACAGCCUUUUGUAUGUGGCUGUUGAUCUACUGAAUGUGUUCUUUUCUUUUUUUUUUUUUUUUUAAGAUUUUAUGUAUUUAUU